rnacentral:rRNA from 1 species
GACGAACGCUGGCGGCGUGCUUAACACAUGCAAGUCGAACGGUGAGGCCCUUCGGGGUACACGAGUGGCGAACGGGUGAGUAAUGUAUCGGAACGUGCCCAGUUGUGGGGGAUAACUGCUCGAAAGAGCAGCUAAUACCGCAUACGACCUGAGGGUGAAAGCGGGGGAUCGCAAGACCUCGCGCAAUUGGAGCGGCCGAUAUCAGAUUAGGUAGUUGGUGGGGUAAAGGCUCACCAAGCCAACGAUCUGUAGCUGGUCUGAGCGGACGACCAGCCCCCCUGGGACUGAGACACGGCCCAGACUCCUACGGGAGGCAGCAGUGGGGAAUUUUGGACAAUGGACGCAAGUCUGAUCCAGCCAUGCCGCGUGCGGGAAGAGGCCUUCGGGUUGUAAACCGCUUUUGUCAGGGAAGAAACGCUCUGGGUUAAUACCUCGGGGUAAUGACGGUACCUGAAGAAUAAGCACCGGCUAACUACGUGCCAGCCGCCGCCGUAA